rnacentral:rRNA from 1 species
GAUGAACGCUGGCGGCGUGCCUAAUACAUGCAAGUCGAGCGAACGGGCGAGAAACUUGCUUCUCUGAUGUUAGCGGCGGACGGGUGAGUAACACGUGGAUAACCUACCUAUAAGACUGGGAUAACUUCGGGAAACCGGAGCUAAUACCGGAUAAUAUUUUGAACCGCAUGGUUCAAAAGUGAAAGACGGUCUUGCUGUCACUUAUAGAUGGAUCCGCGCUGCAUUAGCUAGUUGGUAAGGUAACGGCUUACCAAGGCAACGAUGCAUAGCCGACCUGAGAGGGUGAUCGGCCACACUGGAACUGAGACACGGUCCAGACUCCUACGGGAGGCAGCAGUAGGGAAUCUUCCGCAAUGGGCGAAAGCCUGACGGAGCAACGCCGCGUGAGUGAUGAAGGUCUUCGGAUCGUAAAACUCUGUUAUUAGGGAAGAACAUAUGUGUAAGUAACUGUGCACAUCUUGACGGUACCUAAUCAGAAAGCCACGGCUAACUACGUG